CGGAGGAUCCAAGCGUUAUCCGGAUUUAUUGGGUUUAAAGGGUGCGUAGGUGGGAUGAUAAGUCAGAGGUGAAAGCUAGCAGCUUAACUGUUAAAUUGCCUUUGAUACUGUCAUUCUUGAGUAUAGUUGGCGUUGGCGGAAUGUGACAUGUAGCGGUGAAAUGCGUAGAUAUGUCACAGAACACCGAUCGCGAAGGCAGCUAACGAAACUAUCACUGACACUGAUGCACGAAAGCGUGGGGAGCAAACAGGAUUAGAUACCCUGGUAGUCCACGCCGUAAACGAUGAUAACUCGACGUUGGCAAUAUACCGUUCAGCGUCCAAGCGAAAGCGUUAAGUUAUCCACCUGGGGAGUACGAUCGCAAGGUUG
rnacentral:rRNA from 1 species